rnacentral:misc_RNA from 1 species
AUAAUCAAGUGUUAUAAAACAAUAAACUUUUCCAUGCUGUUUUUGGUAUUUCAAACUAUAGGCUAGCGAUUGAUGGUAAAACACCACUUGUGAUAGCUAAAGUAGUUAAAACAGUAAAAACGGCUAUAAAUUCUUUCAUGAUAAUGUCCUUGAUGCUGAUGGGUUGAGUACAUUAUGCACACAUUUUAUUCAUUUGGCUAGCUAUUUAUAAGAAAAGUGUAACUUUUGGUGCUUUGGGGGCUUGAUACAAUCGAAGUGCUGAUUAGUGUAUGUGUUAAUGUUUUUAUCAGUGUCAUCUGUAGCGACUCAUGAUGUUUUUGUUGUUAAACGUAUU